rfam:Beta vulgaris subsp. vulgaris contig144730.1, whole genome shotgun sequence.
GGCUGCGACCAUACCAGCACUAAUCCACUGUAUCCUAUAAGAACUCCGCAGUUAAGCGUGCUUGGGUGAGAGUAGUACUAGGAUGAGUGACCUAUUAGGAAGUCCUCGUGUUGCACCGC